GUGUAAGUGACAACAGUUCUGUGAUUAUUUGUGUUUGCAGGAUUGGACAUCCUUGAUUUAGACCGAGAGCUGAAGGGAAGAUUUGGACACUUGAAGAUUUUGUUCAAGAUGAAUGAACUAGACUAGGACCAGGCUGAGACCGUAGCAGCAAGAGAUUGGGUCGUGAUUUCUUUUUCUGCAGAGUGGAACCAAGACCAGAGCAGUAGGAUAGUUUCAUUUGUAUUAUUUUCAUUUUUUCUUUGUAUUUGAUGGGCUUGCAGCCCACUGUCAUUGUUAGCCUUCUUUUGUUUUUUCUAUUGGUUUGUAAAUGGCCUUUUAUAAGUCCAAGUAUUUGGAAGAGUCCUUGGUGCUCUUUCCAAAUCUUGGCAACUUUAAUUGCUUUAAUUUUAGCAUAGCUAGACAUAAGAGUAGAAUUGGAUUGUCUUUGCAUGUGUUUGAUUUUCACGUGUAGGUGUGACCUUUGUCACAUUAGAGUCCGAACGUAUUAGGGGUCUUAGAGUCCGUUUUCAUUGUUUGUUUCUUUUGAGUCUUGU
rnacentral:lncRNA from 1 species